GACUUCCAUAGCUCAAUUGGUAUAGCAUGAGACUCUUAUUUUCAGGGUUGUGGGUUUGAGCCCCACGUUGAGCA
rnacentral:tRNA from 1 species